GUAGGUGGCAAGCGUUGUCCGGAAUUAUUGGGCGUAAAGCGCGCGCAGGCGGUCCUUUAAGUCUGAUGUGAAAGCCCACGGCUCAACCGUGGAGGGUCAUUGGAACCUGGGGGACUUGAGUACAGAAGAGGAAAGCGGAAUUCCAAGUGUAGCGGUGAAAUGCGUAGAGAUUUGGAGGAACACCAGUGGCGAAGGCGGCUUUCUGGUCUGUAACUGACGCUGAGGCGCGAAAGCGUGGGGAGCAAACAGGGAUUAGAUACCCUGGUAGUCCACGCCGUAAACGAUGAGUGCUAAGUGUUAGGGGGUUUCCCGCCCCUUAGUGCUGCAGCUAACGCAUUAAGCACUCCGCCUGGGGAUACGGCCGCAAGGCUG
rnacentral:rRNA from 1 species